rnacentral:rRNA from 1 species
AACGUAGGAGACAAACGUUAUCCGGAGUUACUGGGCGUAAAGGGCGUGCAGGUGGUCUGUUAAGUCUGGCGUGAAAGCUCUCGGCUAAACCGGGAGAGGUCGUUGGAUACUGGCGGACUAGAGGACGGUAGAGGCGUGUGGAAUUCCGGGUGUAGUGGUGAAAUGCGUAGAGAUCCGGAGGAACACCAGUGGCGAAGGCGACACGCUGGGCCGUACCUGACACUAAUACGCGACAGCAUGGGGAGCACAGGG